rnacentral:rRNA from 1 species
ACGGGAGGCAGCAGCUAAGAAUAUUCCGCAAUGGACGAAAGUCUGACGGAGCGACGCCGCGUGGAUGAUGAAGGUCGGAAGAUUGUAAAAUCCUUUUAUGACUGAGGAAUAAGUGAAGUGAGAGAAACGCUUCAUGGUGACUGUAGGUCAUGAAUAAGCAACGGCUAAUUACGUGCCAGCAGCCGCGGUAACACGUAAGUUGCGAGCGUUGUUCGGAAUUAUUGGGCGUAAAGGGCAUGUAGGCGGUUUUGCAAGCUUGGUGUGAAAUCCCGGAGCUCAACUCCGGAAUUGCGUUGAGAACUGCAUAACUAGAGUCACUGAGGGGCAGGCAGAAUUCCAGGUGUAGGGGUGAAAUCUGUAGAUAUCUGGAAGAAUACCAAUGGCGAAGGCAGCCUGCCAGCAGAUGACUGACGCUGAGGUGCGAAGGUGCGGGGAGCAAACAGGAUUAGAUACCCUGGUA